GAAACACCAAUAUGGCGAAGGCACUGUACUGGGCUUUUUCCUGACGCUCAGAGACGAAAGCUGAAGGAGUGAUUAGGAUUAGAUACCCUAGUAAUUUCAGCCGUAAACGAUGAAAACUCACUGUCGAGCCAAUAUAUGGAGCGGUGGUCAAGCUAACGCGUGAAGUUUUCCGCCUGGGGAUUACGCUUGCAAAAGUGAAACUCAAAGGAAUUGACGGGGACCCGCACAAGCGGUGGAGUAUGUGGUUUAAUUCGAUGCAACGCGAAAAACCUUACCAGGGUUUGAAAUAAUUUCAAAACUUCUUGAAAGAGAAGCCUCCUUCGGGAUGGAAUUACAGGUGGUGCAUGGCUGUCGUCAGCUCGUGUUGUGAAAUGUCAAGUUAAGUCUUGUAACGAGCGCAACCCAUGUCUCUUGUUGCUGUUUACAGUGCUUAAGAGAAACUGCCGAUCAACAUCGGAGGAAGGUGUGGAUGAUGUCAAGUCAGCAUGCCCCUUACAUCCUGGGCUACACACGUACUACAAUGGUCGAGACAAAGGGUCGCUAACCUGCGAAGGUAUGCCAAUCUCAUAAACUCGAUCUCAGUUCGGAUUGUACUCUGCAACUCGAGUACAUGAAGGUGGAAUCGCUAGUAAUCGCUGGUCAGCAUACAGCGGUGAAUACGUUCCCGGGUCUUGUACACACUGCCCGUCACACCAUGGAAGUCGACCCUUCCCUAAGUCGUUACUCGAACCUGUAAAGGACGAGGACGCCGAAGGCAGAGUUGGUGACUAGGGUGAAGUCGUAACAAGGUAGCCGUA
rnacentral:rRNA from 1 species